GGGCAAGUGUCAUGGACUGUCUACUGCCAGGAAGCUCCAUUGUCACCGACAGGAUCAGAAGUGGCAUGGUAAAUGGUACAAGAAAGCCCAUUCGGGCACAGUCCUGAAGACCAGCCUUUUUGGAGGUGCUUCUCAUGCAAAGGGAAUUGGGCUGGAAAAAGUAGGGAUUGGAGCCAAAUAGCCCAGCUCUGCCACUGAGAAGUGUGCCAGGGCCAAGCUGAUCAUCCAGCAUAAGCUAGAUGCUAGAACAGCAAGAAAAUCACAGCCUUUGUACCUGAUGAUGAUUGCUUGAAUUUUAUUGAAAAAAAUGAUGAAGUUCUGUAUCAGGGGAACCAGCACCCAAUAUUUCAAUGUAGUUCUGGUUGCUGGAUUUGGCAGGAAAGGUCAUGCUGUUGGUGAUAUUCCUGGAGUCCACCUUAAAGUUGUUAAAGUAGCCAAUGUCUCUCUUUUGGCCCUAUCAAAAGCAAGGAGGAAAGACCAAGCUCA
rnacentral:lncRNA from 10 species